CGUGGGAGGGUACUAUGAUACCACUACACCAGAUGCGCGACGUUGGUAACUUGAACCUCCAAAUCUUGCUUGAACAAGUAAAUGAAAUAAUCAGUAAAGCAACCUAUUAUUGGCGAGUACGAGGCCGGUGGGCAGUUCAUAGUAAAGCGAUGGGCGGUGGCGGUGCGAGAGUUUAUGCUUUAUUGUAGAAGAGACUGGAGCUGACCUGAUGUGUAUCUGAAAGUUGGUUAUUAAUUUCUCAUGGUAGAUGCUAUGUGAUGAAGUUUAUCAAUGAUUUUUUCUUUUGGCAGAUGAUAUGAUAUUUUAUGAAGCUUAUCAAUGAUUUUAGUAGUAUUACUUCUUUUGGGUUUUUAGUCUUCUCUUUAAGUUGCAUCUGAUGUUUGGAAUCGCAAAUUUUAUAUACCCUCACAAAUCCAGCACGCUUAGUGCUUGUGGUCACAUAGAUAAUUGUUGAUUAACUUGAAGAAGUUUCUGCAAUCCGUUUCCCGUUUCUGCUUAUUAGAUUGGUCUGUUUCUCUUACAAGCAUCCGCUUGUGGGUUUUUUUGAUGCCCUGCUAUCUGUAACAUUUGUACCUUUUUGUUCUUGUGGGUUUUCACAUAUGAGAAUUAACCACCCCUGUCUCAUAUAUUGCUUUGACUCAUUUGUUACUCCAUGUGUUUUUGAUGAACUUUGGAUAGCAGUUUGAAAUGAUUGGUUAUCAGCUAUAUUAUCAGCCUUUUUUUUUUUUAAAAAAAAGGAAAAAGAAAUGCAAGCUUUACUGCAUACCCUUUCAUCUUGAAAGGUAAAUGUUAUUUAAUCAAUGUAAUUGCAAUUGCAGGAGGAAAAAUUCUGACCUUUAACUUGAGCUAAGAGGACUUGAUGCUGUUUGUGUUGUUGUCCUGUAUUGCAUCAUAGCCCAUUUUGAAAUGGGAAUCCUUUGCUAAGCCACAUUGAAUUUUUGGUGCAAUGGAGAUGUGUUUUCUUGUAUUGAUGCAUCCUGCAAAUGUUUUCAUUUAAAUCACCUGCAGAAUUUACUUGAGCACCAUUUGCAUUCAUAUUACAAUUUAUGCUACAAUUCGGUUUCAUAUAUUUCCAUCCUUAUAGUGAUAACUCAUACGGAAAUACAUUACAAUUAAAAUUAAAAGUAAUUUGUUGACACAAUGAAUUGCUUCUUCUGCACAUUUUCUCUGUCCUGAACUGUUCUCUGGAAAAAAUUGUGGUGAGUGCAUAAGAACUCCUCUCCUGUUGAGCUUUGGACAGCAUACUCCUAUGUUUUUCAAUAGCAAUAGUUUCUGGUGAUCUAAGAGGAGCACUAGGGGCAUGGUUGCGUAUUAGAAAAUAGUAUCAAAUUUCCUUACCUAUGCGUUACAUCCAGCAAAGUAGAAGGGUAGGCACAUCAGUGGACUAUGUACAGCCUUGCUCUAUGCUCUUUUAAACUCUUGCAUCUUCUAUGCCAGUUUCCAGCCUGCCUAUUCCUAGAAGCACCAUAGCCUUCAAUGGAUAUGAAUUCCAGCUUUCUUUCUUCCUUCACAGUGAUGUCCAGUGCAUUGUUCUUGAGGAAAUUAAAGUUCUCUGCUGUUAUAAUUUAUAAACUUCUCUAGCAGUAACUGAAAACUGUUUCAGUUUCUUUGACUUCUUUCCUCACAUUAUGGGAAUCUUGAAGAUUACUUCCCGCUGGACUUUUGGCUGUGAACCAGGGGUCUUGUUUCUUGCUUAUUGCUGAUUUUAUAUUGGGAUUUCCUGAUAUCCUGGUUCACUCCUCCUGAUUCCACGUGUUGACCAGUUUGGUUACCAAUGUUCUAGGUUAAGGUAUACCAUGCAGCUCUUGCCUUUUAAAUCACAAAACUUUUUAUUCAAGAGUUCAAACCUGACUUCAGGAGGAUUAGUCCUAUUCUACAUCAAUCAAGAUAUUGUCAACCAAGCUGUGUGUCUAUAGAAUUAGGUUGCUUUUCUUGCUAUCAAGGUACAGAUUUCUAUUUAAAGACUUUCUUCCCAUGUUACUCUUACUUUGCCCGUGGUCUCACUCUUCCCUGAUGUAGCUAUUAACAACCUUCGCAAUAUUUCGUAAUACCAGUAACAUGCUAGCAAUAUAUUUCCCUUAUAUAUUUGUGUAUUCAUUCAACAUAGCUCAAUUCAAGUUUCAGUCAGAUGGGGAAUCCAGGAAGGAGAGAUAGCCAUGGAAUGAAGUAUCUUUGUUGUCUCUUUGCCUUCCAACUUUUAUUAAUUUACUUGUACUUUUUUUUUUUUUGCAAGUUCUAUUUCAACUUUUAUUUGUCUGUCUUUUGCUUUUCCCCAUUUAUCUUUUUGCUUUUCCAGGGUGCUCACUGUUUUUGAGUCGGUGUGUGGAGCAUAUAGAGUUGUUGGCUACAUUUAACUUUUUUUGGCUUGAAGCUCCAGUGAUGAAGUUAGUCAGCUAUAGUUGUCGUUCCAAUUGCUGAAGCUCUGUCAUAUUUCUAGAGCUACAUGUAGAACAGAAGGGACAGCUGAGGAGCUGGCUUAACAUUUUUCCUUUGGUCGCUACUUGCAUUGCUUUGAGUAUUGGAGUCAGUCGAAAGUUGUGAAUUUUACUAUUUCUGAUAGCAUGCUGCAAAAAUCUCUCUCUCUCUAGUUUCUUUUAGUUUUCUGUCCGCCAUCGUUUUGCUGUUUGUUUUUUUUUUCCUCGUGUUGUUUACUUUGGCUAAUGGAGGAUCAUAGGUGGGGCAAAUUAUGGAAAGGAUGGAGGGCAUCUAAUAUGGCCUUAUGCUCCUCAUGUCCUUGCUUAAUCGAAAACUGUAAUGUGAAUAGCAAGCACUAAUCGCAGUAUAAUCAAGACUUUCUUCUGCUACGAUGGACUACUGAACUUGUGGAACGAGGGAGAUCUGCUGGGCUGUAACUUCUCAAUAAGACGGAGGAACGCAUUUAUGAAUUGUCUUGAACGCCAGCACAUGUUUUAGCAGAGAGCCAAUGAGUAGAAAAGCAAUUGAGUGCAUGCGCUGCAAAGAGCCAAGCUGGAUUUGCACUUUCUAAGUUGAAACUACUACUCAAGUCAAGCAAACAAGAAUUUGUCAGUGAACGUGGAUGAAAAUCAGUGAAUCAGGGCCAUCAUGCUAUGCAACCAAAAUGUGGAUUUGACAGUGCGUGGUCUUUUAUGAUGAUUGGCGUUCAAUGAAAUCAUAUCACGUGCAACGUUGGUGUCCACAGCCAAUCUUGACAAAGAACCAAUCAUAGCUUAAGAUGGUUGAGAGCCUUAACCAAAAAGAGGGAUACCAAAGUUUCUUGUUGCCCUUAUGUUUUCAGCUUUGGCAAAAAUUCUUUUAUUGCUGCCCUUGUUAUUUCCUCAGACAUGAUUAUAAGGACUGCCAACAAGUUGAAAAAAAUGGCAAAAACGGCCCCUCAGUUGAGAUUAAAAGUUUGGCUCUGAUCGUUUUUCAUCCAGCUCGGAUGUUAA